UAUCUGUGCUUUUCAAUGGUC
rnacentral:piRNA from 1 species